rnacentral:rRNA from 1 species
CCUACGGGUGGCAGCAGUGAGGAAUAUUGGUCAAUGGGCGCAAGCCUGAACCAGCCAUCCCGCGUGAAGGAAGAAGGCGCUAUGCGUUGUAAACUUCUUUUCCAGAGGAAGAAAACCCUCGACGUGUCGGGGCUUGCCGGUACUCUGGGAAUAAGCAUCGGCUAACUCCGUGCCAGCAGCCGCGGUAAUACGGAGGAUGCGAGCGUUAUCCGGAUUUAUUGGGUUUAAGGCGUGCGUAUAAGGCAGAGGAGAAAACCUGCAGCUUAACUGUAGAAUGGCCAUUGAUACUGUUAGUCUUGAGUACGGUCAAGGUAGGCGGAAUGUGUAAUGUAGCGGUGAAAUGCUUAGAUAUUACACAGAACACCGAUUGCGAAGGCAGCUUACUGGGCCAUUACUGACGCUGAUGCACGAAAGCGUGGGGAGCGAACAGGAUUAGAUACCCCGGUAGUC